AAAAUUUGGUUGAAUGAGAUAAUAGAAUAUAGAUUUUCACUAAUGUUUAUUCCGGCUGUUCAUUUUUGAAAUUUGAAAUCAUGUUUUAUCGAUUUCUCUUGAAGAAUCAGUAGUCACCUUGAUUGAUUAUUUUUAGCCCUACUUUAUGUUUUCUCUCCAUCACUAUAUUUGUGUUGAAUUUGAACUCAUAAAUGUAACUUUAUUGAUGAAAUGCACAUUACACAAUUUUGGACGAUAGUAAUAUUAUACACUCAAAUUUAAUCCUCACUCGACAAUACACACACGGCUGUGUGCUUCCUCUCUUAUAACUAUCUCUGUUUCUUUCUUAAUUCUCUCUACGCACGCACCUCUCUUCUCACUCUCUCUGUUCGCCACACACAUACAUUUCCAUACACACAAGACACAGCUAUAUACAUGGUGUGCUUAGCUUAUGUUAAAUACUGUUGACAUUGGACAUCAAAUAAUGGUGUAUUCACUAAUUAAUUGGUGUGCCAUAUCACCGGUGCUCAUUAGAUGAUUUCUCUUUCUCUCUACACAUACACACAUGCAAAGUCAGUGGUAUCCAAUUCCAGAUUUUUCUUGUGGUGGUGGUCUUUUCCUUCUAGUGAACUCUAGUAUAUCGCCGAUCAAGUUUUAAAUUUUUGAGAAUUCUAGAAUGGUGGUUAUGUAUGGAUUCUUCUAGGUUUUUCUAGCCGUGGCUGCAUGAGGAAAAUCUAGAAAUGAUUUUGAAGCCAAAGUUGGUCCUGACUUCUUCAAUUUGGUCUGCAUCUUUUUUAGCAACAUUAACUAUAGUUUGCAUGGAAUUUUGGGCUAUGAAUUCAAAUUAAGAAAAAAUCAUAUUCAAACAUGAAUUCAUUUGUUUUAUAUUCCGAAAUCUGAAUUGCAUGCCACAUAUAUAAAUGUAUAUACCCAUCUGAGAUUUAUCCUGUUCGGAGCUGGAUAAAGUUCUUGGAAAAUUUUCCUUUCGUCUAUUUAAUGGAAAUGAUACUGGCAGUUAAGGUUGUGAUAAUGUAGAGUGUGAAUUAUCAAAUUUUAAACAUCAUUUAUAAAAUUAGUAGGCUGAGUGAAUUUUCAAAUUUUAAAUAUUAUUUAUUAAAUUAGUAGGCUGAUAUUAGGAUGCUGAGAAAGUGUUCUACAUAGAGAAACAAUCUUCUUUUAGAAUGAAAAACUUUUAAUUGGAACCUGCAAUGCCAUUCUUCGUUCUCUAAGUUUACUAGUUGUUGUGUUACUUGAAGUGGAUUACUUCUCAGAUUAUAGUAUAGAUUGUGCACCUUACCCAUCCUCCCUUCUCAGAUAGAAUCUUUCUGUUCAUUUGGGUGAUCAUAAUUCAGUAAUUCAGUUGUAGGAGUACAGAACCAGGGUCAGCACAUUCGCAUCACUUAUUAUUUUUUAUUUUUCUCUAACCUUCAAUUCUUUUAUUUCUAAUUUUUAGACUUGAGUUGAAUUUAAAACAAUAUGGAGGAAUCCUCAAAAUAUUUUGGAAAAAAAAGGAUGACUAAAAUGGGAAUAAGGUGCACAUGUCUCAGCCACCUCGACAUGUGCCGCAUACACUUCAAAUUAUGGUGUAAGUCUUUACAAAAGGUACUCAAAGUGUAAGUUUUGACAACACACAUCUCAAGGCAUAGGUUUUGAUAAAGCACAAAAUUAGCAAAGUAUUAUUGGAGAAUUUCAUUCAUCCUUUAUUGUAAAUUUAGCUGAUUUUUAGUUGAUUUUCUUCUCUUUAUUUAGCUGAUUUUAUUCCCCACUGUAUAGGCCAAACUAGUGGGAUUGACUUUGCUGGAUUAGUGGGAUUGAUCUCCCUGCCUGUAUAUAUUUACUUGUAAUAAUUUCUGUCAAUACACACCAGAAUAUUCAUUGAAUUUCUUUAUGGUAUCAGAGCACACUCUAUCGUGAAUAGAGUUUGAUCCUCUUGCCUACCCUAGUUGUGUUCUCUCUUUUAUCAUAGAAACGGAAGAUUCCCAGACUCCUGUCACAAAAGCAACUGCCCAGCAAACUGAAACUAUUCACUCCCCCUCAUAUCAACCAGAUAUACCAUCUCACAUGGUCACUCGUGCUCAGAAUAAUACCUCCAAACCAAAACAACCGUUCAACCUACAUUCCACAAUCUCUUCCCUCCACUACCAAACAGAACAUUCAUCAUUUGCCCAAGCCAAAAAGCACUCUCAUUGGCGUGAUGCCAUGAAAGAAGAAUUUCUAGCUCUUCAGGACAACAAAACUUGGUCCCUUGUUCCACCCUCCUCUAAGAGGAACUCGGAUGGCUAUAUUGCUUGCUAUAAGGCCCGUCUUGUGGCAAAAUGUUUCAUCAAUGACCCGAAAUUGACUUUUCAGAAACUUUUAGCCCAGUGGUUAAACCAGCAACCAUUCGCCUUGUUCUAACUAUUGCUGUCACUUGUGGUUGGGUUUUGAAUCAAUUGGAUGUCAACAAUGCCUUCCUAUAAGGCACUCUAUCUGAAUGUGUUUUUAUGCAGCAACCUCAAGGAUUUUUUGACCCUCAAUGUCCUUCCCAUGUUUGCAAAUUACAUAAAGCAAUCUAUGGUCUUCGUCAAGCUCCUCGGACAUGGUACAAUAAACUUCGUUCCUUUCUUCUUGCCUAUGAUUUAUUAAUUCAAAGAGUGAUACCUCUCUCUUUAUAUACUCUUCGGACACUCGCAUCAUGUACUUGCUUGUGUAUGUGGACGACAUUAUACUUACGAGCAAUCACCCUCCUACUCUUCAAGAAUUCACCAGUCAGCUCUCCAACAGGUUUUCUCUCAAAGGUCUUGGCAAGCUUAACUACUUCUUGGGUGUUGAAACAACUCGGACCCCCAAUGGUUUAUUCCUAUCACAACAAAAGUAUAUUCUGGAGCUUCUUCAGCGAACAAAUAUGCAAGAGGCCAAGGAAGUCAGCACUCCACUCUCCAUUUCAGAAACGCUGAAGCUUGAUGAUGGUUCCCCUGGUCAUUAUCCAACUGAGUAUCAUCAAGUAUUAGGCUCACUUCAGUAUCUUUCUCUUGCACGGCCUGAUGUUAGCCAUGUUGUCAACAAGUUGGCUCAAUUUAUGCACAAACCAACUUCUAAUCAUUGGCUUGCUAUAAAACGUGUUCUUCGAUACCUCAAGGGAACCCCUCAUUAUGGUGUCUUCAUUUCAGCUCAUUCACCUCUUGCACUUCAUGCUUUUGCUGAUGCCGACUGGGCUGGUGAUGCUGAUACACGUCACUCUACAUCCACCUAUAUUGUAUUUCUUGGCUCCAAUCCUAUCAGUUGGAGUUCUAAGAAACAAUCCACUAUAGCCCGCUCCUCAACUGAGGCCGAAUAUCAUGCCAUUGCUGCUGCUGCUGAGGUGAAUUGGCUCACUAACUUGCUACGUGAACUUGCUGUAUCAAUUCCAGCUCCUCCAACAAUCUACUGUGAUAAUGUUGGAGCCACCUACUUAUGCUCCAAUCCUAUUUUCCACUUACAUAUGAAACACAUUGCCAUUGACUUUCACUUUGUGCGUGAUCAAGUUUCUUGCAAGUUGUUUCGCAUUUCACAUGUUCAUACUACAGACCAGCUUGCUGACUCUCUCACUAAACCUCUAGCUCGAAAGCAGUUCCUAAUUCAUCGGUCCAAGCUUAGUGUCCUUCCCAACCCUUACGCUUGCGGGGGCAUGAUAAAGCACAAAAUUAGCAAAUUAUUAUUGGAGGAUUUCAUUCAUCCUUUAUUGUAAAUUUAGCUGAUUUUUAGUUGAUUUUAUUCUCUUUAUUUAGCUGAUUGUAUUCCCCACUGUAUAGGCUAGAUUAGUGGGAUUGACUUUGCUGGAUUUGUGGGAUUGAUCUCCUUGCCUGUAUAUAUAUACUUGUAAUAAUUUCUGUCAAUACACCCAAAAUAUUCAUUGAAUUUCUAUAGGUUUGGCCUCCAUUUUUUAAAAAUUCAUUUUCAAUUAUACAUUCUUCCAUAAAAU
rnacentral:lncRNA from 1 species